rnacentral:rRNA from 1 species
AUUGAACGCUGGCGGCAGGCUUAACACCUGCAAGUCGAGCGAGUGGCGGACGGGUGAGUAACACGUGGGAACCUACCCAUCAGAGGGGGAUAACACUUGGAAACAGGUGCUAAUACCGCAUACUGAUGGCUGGACCCGCGGUGCAUUAGCUAGUUGGUGAGGUAACGGCUCACCAAGGCCACGAUGCAUAGCCGACCUGAGAGGAUGACCAGCCACACUGGAACUGAGACACGGUCCAGACUCCUACGGGAGGCAGCAGUGGGGAAUAUUGCACAAUGGGCGCAAGCCGGAUACAGCCAUGCCGGUUGUGAAGAAGGCCUUCGGGUUGUAAAGCACUUUCAGCGAGGAGGCGUUACUCGCAGAAGAAGCACCGGCUAACUCCGUGCCAGCAGCCGCGGUAAUAC